rnacentral:rRNA from 1 species
UACAGAGGGUGCGAGCGUUGUCCGGAAUCACUGGGCGUAAAGGGCGCGUAGGCGGCUUGAUAAGGUUGCGGUGAAAGCCCGGGGCUCAACCCCGGGUCGGCCGUGGCAACUGUCGAGCUGGAGCACUGUAGAGGCAGGUGGAAUUCCGGGUGUAGCGGUGAAAUGCGUAGAGAUUUGGAGGAACACCAGUGGCGAAGGCGACUUUCUGGUCUGUAACUGACACUGAGGCGCGAAAGCGUGGGGAGCAAACAGG